rnacentral:lncRNA from 1 species
AAUCCAUUAAACCAAAUUGAGCCAUAGACAUAAAUAAUCAUCAAUUCAAUAGUAUAUCACCAUAUCCACCUUCCAUAACUCAAUUACCAUAUCCACCUUCCAUAACCCAAUUAACAUAUCCUCCUUCCACAAUUCAAUACAACCAAACCAUGCAAAAUAGUCCAUAACCCUAUUUCCAUCACCUUUCAAUAACAACUAAUACAUAUAAUCCUCUAUCACACAUAUACAUAUGGAA